rnacentral:lncRNA from 1 species
AGCUUUCUUAGAUCCUAGAGUUUCGGUUUUCUUACUUGUGAUUGUGUCAUUAUUCUUCUUCUUCUUUUGCCUAUCUUCUGUUUGUCAUGGCCUUUUCCUCAUUGUCCUCCAUUCUGAAUCCCAGCAUUACAAACUUCGUUAAAUUAUCUUAUUCUAACUAUCUCAUAUGGCUCCGUCAAAUUAUCUCUUUUCUUCAUGAAGAUUAGAAGAAAUUAGACAUUUAAGUAACUUCUUCUUUCUAAUUUUACCAUUUUUUUAGAGGAUUAAAAUGGAUAAACAUUAUGUUAAAUAAUAUUAAAUGUUCAUAAGUUUCUAGUCAUUGAACCUAGCCAUUGUAUAUAUUCCUUUUCUAACCAUUCUACCUAGCCCUAUUGUAUAUUCCUUUGUAGUUUCCAAUGAAUCUCUAUCCAUACGAAGAAUAUAUUGUACUCUUUACACACAAAUGACAUCAAGGAAAUUCAUUUGUACAUACUAUUAGCUUUUUUAGACUCUAGGGUUUCGGUUUUCUUACCUGUGAUCAUGUCAUUCUUCUUCAUAUGUCCAUCUUCUGUUUGUCAUGGCCUCUUUCUCCUCGUCCUCUAUUCCAAAUCCCACCAUCACAAACUUCGUCAAACUAUCUCAUUCUAACUAUCUCAAAUG